UGGGGAAUAUUGCACAAUGGGGGAAACCCUGAUGCAGCGACGCCGCGUGAACGAAGAAGGUAUUCGUAUCGUAAAGUUCUGUCCUAUGGGAAGAUAAUGACAGUACCAUAGAAGAAAGCUCCGGCUAAAUACGUGCCAGCAGCCGCGGUAAUACGUAUGGAGCGAGCGUUGUCCGGAAUUAUUGGGCGUAAAGGGUACGCAGGCGGUUUAAUAAGUCGAAUGUUAAAGGUCGGGGCUCAACCCCGCAAAGCAUUGGAAACUGAUAAACUUGAGUAGUGGAGAGGAAAGUGGAAUUCCUAGUGUAGUGGUGAAAUACGUAGAUAUUAGGAGGAAUACCAGUAGCGAAGGCGACUUUCUGGACACAAACUGACGCUGAGGUACGAAAGCGUGGGGAGCAAACAGG
rnacentral:rRNA from 1 species